AUGGACGGCCUGGCUUUUGAUCCGGCAGUCUCAUCCCAUUUCCACGUUUUUUGUUUUGAGGAGACCUCUUUCGAAACUUACAUGACAGGAGUGAACAUCUACUCGUCACAAACAGGAGCCUGGAGUCGCAGUGAUGGUGGGAUUGUUGAGAAAGUGGCACUCUUCUUCUAUACUAAGGGUGUCUUUGUCAACGGUAUGAUGUAUGUAUAUGUGAUUGGCAACCUGAACGGCAUCAGCAACGAGUAUGUGCUCCUGGGGAUGGACAUGCAGGGUAAAGUGCGGAAGACUAUCCCUAUGCCGUAUGGUCGAAGAUUUGGUAUGAUUGGAACGUCGCAGGGGUGCUUAGUCUAUGCUGUAGCUUCCGUCGAUGAUAACAAAAAUACUAGAUUCUGA
rnacentral:rRNA from 1 species